GAUGAAGAACGUAGCGAAAUGCGAUAAGUAAUGUGAAUUGCAGAAUUCAGUGAAUCAUCGAAUCUUUGAACGCACAUUGCGCCCCUUGGUAUUCCGAGGGGCAUGCCUGUUCGAGCGUCAUUAUAACCCCUCAAGCUCAGCUUGGUGUUGGGGCCUGCUGCACUGGCAGCCCUUAAAAUCAGUGGCGGCGCCAUCUGGCUCUAAGCGUAGUAAUUCUUCUCGCUAUGGAGUCCUGGUGGAUGCUUGCCAACAACCCCCAAUUUUUUAAGGUUGACCUCGGAUCAGGUAGGGAUACCCGCUGAACUUAAGCAUAUCAAUAAGCGGAGGA
rnacentral:misc_RNA from 1 species